rnacentral:lncRNA from 1 species
GUGGAAGAGUUAAAGGCUCCCACCCGAAGGAGUGUGUCUGCAGGUCAAGCUGGGAACUCCAAGCGAAUGGCUGCCUUAUGUCACUUAGAGACUUAAUUGCUCUGUGACCAGUGUGCUGUGAGGAGGGAGCAGGACCAGAGUGUUCUGUGCUCUCUACUGUCCUGCGAAUCAAGCUUAUCUCCUGCUGGAUGCUGCCUGUCUCCAGAAGUCUUCACCAUGAUCGAUAGCUCCAAGAAGCAGCCACAAGGCUUCCCAGAAAUUUUAACUGCUGAGGAUUUUGAACCUUUCAAAGAAAAGGAAUGCCUUGAGGGAAGCAACCAGAAAAGUCUCAAGGAAGGUCAGUCUGUCUCUGGACAGGGCAGGAUGGCUACAUUCCUGUUCCUGUCACCUUGCUGGCUGGCAUGUCUGUCUACCACUGUAUGUCUGUGUGUCUCUCUGUUUGCUGUUGCCCUUACUCCUGAGUUCUCUAUGGUGAAUGUUUAAUCCUGCUUGCAGAGAGACAGAGUUGACAGGACAUGAACAGUUGGCAAUAAUUGCUACUGAUAAUGACAGUUAGGAAGCCAGUCCUGGCUUCAGUUUAAUUUGUCCAGAUUUGUUUGUGUAUUUUUCCCAGUUUGGGGAUUCUCCUCCAAACCCUGUGGGUUUUGGAGAGGCUAUUCCAUUUUUAUUAUUAACCAGAACACUGCUUUAUUUGUGUUUACAGCCACAUAAUUCCAGGAAAAAUAAUUUUCCCGAUUAAUAUGUUGGACGUUUGUUGUUUGUCUCCUUGAGUCCUGAAAUGAUGACUCAGCUGUGUGUGCAUUAUCUGCAUAUUGAUUUAAAAGCAUGUUGCAUAGUUUGAUUU